rnacentral:rRNA from 1 species
AGUUAAGUGACUAAGCGUACACGGUGGAUGCCUAGGCAAUCAGAGGCGAAGAAGGACGUGCUAAUCUGCGAAAAGCUUGGAUGAGUUGAUAAGAAGCGUUUAAUCCAAGAUAUCCGAAUGGGGAAACCCGAUGGAUGAAGAAUCCAUCAUUUCAUUAUGAAUCCAUAGUAAUGAAAGGCAAACCGGGAGAACUGAAACAUCUAAGUACCCCGAGGAAAAGAAAUCAACCGAGAUUUUGUAAGUAGCGGCGAGCGAAAGCGAAAGAGCCAGUGAGUGAUAGCAGCAAAGACAGAAGAAUUGGCUGGGAAGCCAAGCGACACAGGGUGAUAGCCCCGUAUUCGAAGUUUUUGUUGUGGUACUAAGCUAACGAUAAGUAGGGCGGGACACGAGAAAUCCUGUUUGAAGAUGGGGGGACCAUCCUCCAAGGCUAAAUACUCCUGAUUGACCG